rnacentral:tRNA from 1 species
GUCGGGCUGGCGAAACUGGCAUACGCGCUAGCUUUGGGAGCUAGUGGGGGCCGCAUCCCCCGUGCGGGUUCGAGUCCCGCGCCCGACA